GAAUCUGUAGCUCAGUGGUAUGAGCGUGCGAUUGCAAACGAGAGUGAUAUCGCGAGGUCCCGUGUUCGACCCACGGCAGGUUCU